rnacentral:rRNA from 1 species
AAACAUCGCCUCUUGACAAAACAUAAGAGGUCCAGCCUGCCCAGUGACAAAGUUUAACGGCCGCGGUACCCUAACCGUGCGAAGGUAGCAUAAUCACUUGUUCUUUAAAUGGGGACUCGUAUCAACGGCACUACGAGGGCUAUACUGUCUCCUUUUUCUAAUCAGUGAAACUGAUCUCCCCGUGAAGAAGCGGGGAUUAAAAUAUAAGACGAGAAGACCCCAUGGAGCUUUAAACUCACCAUGCACCUCUGUGCCCCCCAUAUCCUUAAACACAACGGACCUGCAUGCUAGUUUUAGGUUGGGGUGACCACGGAGUACAACUUAACCUCCACAGCAAAUGGGCUAAUACCCUUAUCCACGAGACACAACUCUAAGAAUUAUUAUACUAAUGCUUAUUGACCCGAUAUUCGAUCAAUGAACCAAGUUACCCUGGGGAUAACAGCGCAAUCUACUUCAAGAGCCCAUAUCGACAAGUAGGUUUACGACCUCGAUGUUGGAUCAGGGUAUCCCGGUGGUGCAGCCGCUACCAAUGGUUUGUUUGUUCAACGAUUAAAACCCUACGUGAU